CGAACUGCGAUAAGUAGUGUGAAUUGCAGAAUUCAGUGAAUCAUCGAAUCUUUGAACGCACAUUGCGCCCUUUGGUAUUCCUUAGGGCAUGCCUGUUCGAGCGUCAUCUAAACCUUCAAGCCCUGCUUGGUGUUGGGUGCCUGUCCCGCCUCCGCGCGCGGACUCACCUCAAAUCCAUUGGCGGCCCCCGCGUCGGCCACGAGCGCAGCAGAAACGCGAACUCGUGAGCCCGUCCGGGCGGCUCCCAGAAGCUACACCCACCCAGUUUGACCUCGGAUCAGGUAGGGAUACCCGCUGAACUUAAGC
rnacentral:misc_RNA from 1 species